AGCAGUCGCCGCGAGAAUACGUAGGGUGCAAGCGUUGUUCGGAAUUACUGGGCGUAAAGCGUGCGCAGGCGGUUCGUUAAGACAGAUGUGAAAUCCCCGGGCUUAACCUGGGAACUGCAUUUGUGACUGGCGAGCUAGAGUAUGGCAGAGGGGGGUAGAAUUCCACGUGUAGCAGUGAAAUGCGUAGAGAUGUGGAGGAAUACCGAUGGCGAAGGCAGCCCCCUGGGCCAAUACUGACGCUCAUGCACGAAAGCGUGGGGAGCAAACAGGAUUAGAUACCCCCGUAGUCCCUGUCUCUUAUAC
rnacentral:rRNA from 1 species